UGUGUUCAAAUGUUUCUUUUAAUUUGUAAAGGCAACAAUUAUUGUCAUAGAGAUAAAAAUAUGAAAAUAAUUUUCAAAAAGAAAAAAAAAAGAUGUAUUAUACUGGAAUACAAUGCAAAUAAAUACAAUGAGAACCAUUGGUCAGGGGAGAACAAAAAAAAAUCAAGGAAUGGAAAAUCAGUCAACAGUAAGUAUGUUCUCUGAAUUAUAUGCUAAUAUAUAGGUAGGUGCAUGAGAAGUUGACAUCACAGAAUGAUCAGUCUUGUUUUUUCAACUGGUUACAUGAUAGAACAAUAAAUAAAUAGACUAAUAUAGUUUCUGAUACAUCACAGAUACAAAACCUGAAAAGUCAAGCAUUUUAGGGAUAC